GACGAACGCUGGCGGCGUGCUUAAUACAUGCAAGUCGAACGGAAAGGCCCUGCUUUUGUGGGGUGCUCGAGUGGCGAACGGGUGAGUAACAUGUGAGUAACCUUCCCUUUACUUUGGGAUAACUUCAGGAAACUGGUGCUAAUACCUGAUAGGAGCUCCUGCUGCAUGGUGGGGUUUGGAAAGUUUAGGCGGUUGUGGAUGGACUGGCGGGUUAUCAGCUUGUUGGUGGGGUAGUGGCUUACCAAGGCUUUGACGGGUAGGCGGCCUGAGAGGGUGAACGGCCACAAUGGGACUGAGAUACGGCCCAGACGCGAACGGGAGGCAGCAGUGGGGAAUAUUGCACAAUGGGCGGAAGCCUGAUGCAGCAACGUCGCGUGCGGGAUGAAGGCCUUCGGGUUGUAAACCGCAUUAGCCUGUGACGAAGCGUGAGUGACGGUAAUGGGUAAAGAAGCACCGGCUAACUACGUG
rnacentral:rRNA from 1 species